CAAUGUGAAUGAACACGGUACAUUAUUGGCGGAUGCUGGACGCAACUGCAGUCUGCUACGUUAAAGCGUCACUGGACGGUACUUUCCAAUGAAAACAAGGCUAUGCCAUUUACCUGCAAGUCGGCGUAGCUUGCUUGUGUGCAUGAUUAUACCAACUAGAUAGAUCAGUUCAAAAUGCUGGGGAUGUUGCAGUUUUUACUCAUCGUUCUCGCUGGAUUAGCCGUUACCGUGACCUUAGAAAUACAAGACUGCCAGAAAAUCAACCUGACCAUCUUUUGCUUGAACGACACGAUCUGUGCAAACUGUUCCACCGAGGCUUUUUACAACUGCAGCUUCGCAAACUGUCCAUACAACGUGUCAAUCCAGUGGAAUAUUCACCCAUCGCAUCGUGACGUUGGUAGCACCUUAGAGAAUGAAACUUUGGAAGGGCCACUGGAGCUUCUAAUCUCGAACUUUAGCACGUUUGAUUUCGAGAACGGAAAUCUUGGCUGUUUCGCAAAUUCUUCUGCAUAUCGCGUUCUUUCUGAAAGUAUUCCAUUACAAGGGCUUUGUCAGGAUAGACACAGAUACCACCAAGCUUCAGCAAAGCACAAUUCAUUAAAAUACACCGUGGAUAUUCCAAGAACGUACGACAUAGAAGGUGGCGUGCAUCUGAGGGUCUUUCCCAGAGACCCAUCACUGCCCAAAUUGAAGGAAUCUCUCUCAGGUGCAAGAGUAACUAAGUUCGGAAGUGACAUUCUUGAGGUGAAGGUUCAAACUAAACAGGGCGAGCCUUUGACUGACUUUCCGGAUGAGCCCGUCCUGCUCACAUUUCCUGUUGAUCCAUAUGACCCCAGCAAGGAAAAACCCCUGUGCUGCUUUAGAGAGGAAUUGGGCUAUUGGUCCACACAUGGCUGCAACACUAACAUCAAGAGUAGUGACACCGUGCAAUGUAGCUGUAAUCAUCUCACAAGUUUUGCCAUAUUGAUGCAGACUUCAGAGGUGGACGUGGAUGACAGGAUUUUGACAAUAUUGACAAAGAUCGGGUUGAGUGUUUCUAUCACUUGCCUUAUUCUUACGCUGUUAAUCUACGCCCUCUGUCGAUUGAAAAGUCUGCGGAUUAUUAUCCACGCUAACCUGGCGUUUGCACUGUUGGUUGGACAUACAGUUUUCUUGUUUAUUGACACCGAAAACAAGGCCGGCUGUGCGGUGGUUGCUGUGUUGCUACAUUUCUUUUUCUUGGCCGCUUUCACCUGGAUGGCUUUAGAGGGCGUGUUUCUUCUGAUUAAAUCCACACCCACAUUCCCGUGGAGGAUCCGUUUACCGGCAUGGUUUGCAGUUGGCUGGGGAGUUCCUGCCUCCGUUGUACUGAUGUCAAUAGCAUCGAAGUUUGAGGGAUAUAAUAGCAGGGUUCAGGGGUGCUGGUUGUCCUUCGACAGUGGCUUUGUCUGGGCAUUCUUAGCACCAGUUAUCGUCAUCAUCAUUGUGAACACAACAAUCCUGACCCGUCUAAUCUACAUAUUUCUGUCCCUGCAAGCUAACAAGAAGAAAUCGGAGGCUCAGAAAAUGAAGGCAGGUCUCCGUCUUGUCCUGAUCUUGGAGCCUUUACUUGGGCUACCAUGGCUGAGUGGUCUGUUGUAUUCAAGCCCAAACACGACUUUCUUUGCAUACGUUUUCGUGAUCUGCAACUCACUUCAGGGGAUGUUCUUGUUUGUCACACAGUGUCUCUUUGAUGAAGAGGUACGGAAUAAGUUCAAGCUAAUGAAAUCAAAGAGGUCAUCCAAGGUCACCUCCCUAACGUCAUCGUCUGGUAACCGGGAGAAGACGUUGAAAGAAACACUCUUUUCGGAGAGGUCUUGCAAACAAGACGGUUUCGAAAACGUGUCCGACGGAGUUACGAUGAGACGCAUGGAUACCCCAAAACACAAACUGGGCACAGACACGCAGCAUAUUCACAUCACAGAAAACCAAGACACACCCGGGGAAGUCGAUCUGCCUACUGUAAGCAGACCAAAUAGCCACAAAUCGAGAUGUGACGGUCCAGUAUCGACCAUGCUUAACCCCAUCAAGCAGCUACUGUCAGUGAGAGAUAAGCGAAAUGACUUUGAAAUGUUUGAGUAUGUGACGUCUGACUACUCCAUUGUAAAGAGUAAUGACAGCGAGACCAGACCAUACUGGACCCCCGAAGCUAUGUCUACCCCUAGUUCAGAUGUGCCUUCUGGGGCGUAUAACAAAACAUCCGUUAGGUACUGGGAGGGAAGCUCCAAACAUGAAAGUAUGGAAUCCUUUUCUUGUUCAUAUUUUAUUCAUCAUGUUGUCAUCAUUUGUCCAAAAUCUGUUUAAAAACCCUGAGUUUUUUCAGUUCUUCAUACUUUACCAUAAUUCCCAUCUAAAGACCCUGUACUUCUCUUUAAUUAACUAACACAACUUGCCACUGAUCCAUGUAUAUAGUCGCCAAGUUUACUGAGACAUUCGGUCUGUGUUGCCUUUUCACAGCUCAAAAUGAACCGGUAGAUCUUCCUGAGAAACGACCAGACAUUCAAGGGACAGACAUUGCAAAUAUUGAAGAGCCAUGGCAACAACGACCUAUCGGGG
rnacentral:misc_RNA from 1 species